ACGGGUGCGUAACACGUGGGUAACCUACCCUAGAGUGGGGAAUAACGACCCGAAAGGGUCGCUAAUACCGCAUAUGCUCGAGAGAGUAAAGUGGCGCGCAAGCGACACGCUUUGGGAUGGACCUGCGUCCCAUCAGGUAGUUGGUGAGGUAAUGGCUCACCAAGCCAAUGACGGGUAGCUGGUCUGAGAGGACGAUCAGCCACACUGGCACUGAGACACGGGCCAGACUCCUACGGGAGGCAGCAGUGAGGAAUAUUGCACAAUGGGCGAAAGCCUGGUGCAGCAACGCCGCGUGCGGGAUGAAGGCCUUCGGGUCGUAAACCGCUUUUCAGGGGGACGAGUGAGGACGGUACCUUUGGAAUAAGUCUCGGCUAACUACGUGCCAGCAGCCGCGGUAAAACGUAGGAGGCUAGCGUUAUCCGGAUUCACUGGGCGUAAAGCGCGUGUAGGUGGCUCGCUAAGUCGAAUGUGAAAGCCCCGGCUUAACUGGGGGAGGUCAUUUGAUACUGGUGAGCUUGAGGACAAGAGAGGAGAGUGGAAUUCCCGGUGUAGCGGUGGAAUGCGUAGA
rnacentral:rRNA from 1 species